GCCGAGGUAGCUCAGAUUGGGAGAGCACUCGACUCAACAAAAACCGUUGUUGAGGGUGAAGCUGAAGACCGAGUUGUCGCUGGUUCAAGUCCGGCCCUCGGCA
rnacentral:tRNA from 1 species